UACGUAGGCAGCGAGCGUUGUUCGGAAUUACUGGGCGUAAAGAGUGUGUAGGCGGUGCUCUAAGUUCGGUGUGAAAUCUCCUGGCUUAACUGGGAGGGUGCGCCGGAAACUGGGGUGCUCGAGCGUGGGAGAGGAAAGCGGAAUUCCUGGUGUAGCGGUGAAAUGCGCAGAUAUCAGGAGGAACACCAAUGGCGAAGGCAGCUCGCUGGGACGGUACUGACGCUGAGACGCGAAAGCGUGGGGAGCAAACAGG
rnacentral:rRNA from 1 species